CGAAUGCGGUGCCGUCAGACGCGAUAUGAACGGUGGUGCGUGGUGUAAUGAGAUUUCAUGGGCGUAAAGCGGUCGGAGGCGGGUUGUGAAGUUGGAGUUGAAAUCCCCGAGCGUAACUUGGGAAUUGCAUUCGAUACUGGGAAGCUAGAGUAUGGGAGAGGAUGGUAGAAUUCCAGGUGUAGCGGUGAAAUGCGUAGAGAUCUGGAGGAAUACCGAUGGCGAAGGCAGCCAUCUGGCCUAAUACUGACGCUGAGGUACGAAAGCAUGGUGUGCAAACAGGAUUAGAUACCCCGGUAGUC
rnacentral:rRNA from 1 species